rnacentral:lncRNA from 1 species
CCUUCUCACUGAAGAGAGCGUGCAUGCCGGACUGAUUACUAUUCUGACUAAUGAAUUCUAUUAACUUGGGGCAACGCUGAAUCUUUAGCACUUUCAACAAUGGGAACUCAAUAUUGUGGUUUCCUGAGUUGAAGAAGAUGAGGUUUGGAAGACCCACUAUAUGCAGGGAGUUUAAUCGAGGGAAACAAAUCACAUCUUUCCUUUCUUCUUCAAUUUCCUCUGUAAGUAUUAUGUCCCUUAAGCACUUGCAAUCCUCUAUCUGAAAGUAUUGGAGCUGCACCAGACUUCUAGCGAGAGAGGGUGAUAACAGAUGCUCCAACUUGCCGCAUCCUUUGAUGAUCAACCUCCUCAAAUUCGUAAUCCAAUGACAUGUCUGGUUUUCGAUUGAGGGAAAAUAAAUUACACAUAUUUACACACAAUUCUUUUAAAAUAAAGGUAGUAUGUAACAUAAUUUGAAAAUAUGAUUUUCAAUUUUAAAGAUAAUUUUAGUUCGAUUUGUGGGCUCAAAUUUCAUUUUAAGAAUUAAAAAAAAUUGUGAGGUUUAAAUUUAGAUUAUUGAAUUGAUUUUGUACUUUCAAUCGAUGUGGAUUAAAAAUUAAAUUUUCAUUUGUUUUGGAUUUGAAAUUUAUUUUUGAGCUCCGAAAAAACCAUUACACAAUAUUAUUUAUUUCUAUUAUUAGAAGUAUUAAUGGGCAUAUAAAUAAAAGUUGUAUAAGAAAAUAUAAAUAGAGCCAAACAAAUACCUGUUUAUUGAAAAGUAGUAAGGGCUUAAUGGAACACCUUUCGUCUGGAGAGCAAAAGCUAACGAGUUGCGGUAGAUUUUCAAGUUUGAUGAAGCAUAAUUCAGAAAAUCCAAUUUUGUUUGUUUUGAUAUAUUGGACAUGCCUACCAUUUUUGACAUGAAGUCUCUUUAAAUUUGGAAGAUCUUUCCCAUUAUUUAACUCCACAAGUACAUUCUUGACGCCUUCAAGUCCCUCUAGGCUCAAAUCUUCUGUUUUUAUCAACAACAUUUUCAUCCCAUUGUCCAAAUCAAUGUUUGUAUAUAACAUGAGCUUCAAUGUUUUCGGGGAUUCAUAAUUAUGGAAACAAUUAUAUGCUCCAUAAUUACCUACGAAAAUCUUGAAUCUGUCCAAUGUUUCAACAAACCGGUGUUUUGGUAUCAUUUGGACAUCAAGAAUAUGAACAUAUAAAGUAAUUAGACAAGGCAAAUUGUUUAAUUCAUCAAGGCUUGCAUUUUUCCUCUCAUUUUCAACUAUUCCUCCCUUCUCCCAUUCAACAAAGCUCCCCCUCAUAUAUAAUUCUUCUAAUUUAGACAAACCUGAUAAGAUAUUCGGUGGGAUGAUUUUGAGUUCUCUACACCAACGCAAAUCUAACAACCUUAAUUGAGUCAAUUGUGCCAUCUCCUUAGGUAGUCCUUUGAUACCUGACUUAGAAAGGUCGAGGAUUUCUAAAUUCUUGAGCUCUCCAAGGAUAGUGAUGUCAUCAACUGCACAUUCUUUUAGACACAACAUGCGAAGGUCCGUGAGGUGAAUAAUUGAUUCAGGUAGGGAUGGAAACUCCAUUCCGAACAAAUCUAAGACUUUGAGGCCUUCGGUUUGUUUGAAAAAAUUGGGAGGAAUUUUAACCGCGCCAUCAUAGGCCUUACGGAAAAAGGAAAGUCCUGAACACUCCAUCUCCUUAGGAAGGUUAGCUAUAAUCUGAGGACAACGUAAGCUGAUCACAUUCCACGUCUUCAUUUUCUCCUUAUCGGACCACUCCUUUGGAGCAUGAUCUCUCAAAACAAGCAUACGGUAGUCCUUCAAUGCGAUAGCUAUAGCAGCAUCCCAAACAACAUCAUGGAUAUCAAAGCGCUUAUCAUUAUAACUAUCAAGCAACAAGGCAGACGCUUUGAGAUUAGCCACAACCGUCAAUACUUUAUUUCUAGCUUCUUCCAUAGUGUGGACACCAUCAAAUAAACCCAAACCUAGAGUAUAUCUUACCAAGUCCUCAACGAGACCAUUAUGGCCUAUUACACUGCAAAGCAAGAAAGUCAGCUUAACUUCCUCGCUUUCUAAAUAAUUAAAACUCCACUCUAUAGCUGAAUAUGCCGCAGCUAUCCCCAUGAAGUUGCUUGACGAAGGCCUCUCCAGUUCUCGUAAAGCAUUCUUCCAUUCAAACAAUCUUUUGUUUCUCAAAGCCCCUGCAACUGUCGCAAUGGCUAUCGGCAGUCCUGCACAUUUGUUGGCUACCUCCAUAGCUAUAGACUUCAAAUCGCAACUUUCAUCACAGUCGCCAGCCUUCUUCUUGAACAGGUCCCAGGCUUCCUUUUCAUUUAAAAACCCAAUGGGAAAAUUUUUCUGAGCAUCCAUCCCAUUUGAUAAAACAUUGAGCUCUCUAGAAGUUAAUAGUAAUUUGCAGCCCUUGUGUUCAUCUCCCAAAGGAAUCCCUACUUCCUCAAUAUCAACCUUUCCCCAAAUGUCAUCCAAGACAACAAGAAUCCUCUCCUCUUCCUUCAAUCUUUCUCGUAGUCGAAAUGCCUUUCCAACCAUACUCUGUUCCUCAAAUUGCAAGCCCAAAAAGUCUGCAAUUUGGUUCUGAGUCUUCUCAAUAUCGAUGGCUUGAGUUACGGUUGCUAUGACAACCGAAUCAAACAACUUGCCCUUGACCUUUCUAGCGAUUUCUUUGACCAGCGUUGUUUUUCCAAUCCCACCCAUACCAUGCACCCCAACAACGCUGACGCUAUUAUCUUUUAGUGACUCCAUUAUUCCGUUCAAAAUCGACCUUCUUGACUCGAAUUCCUCAUAACCUUUAACUGGUGCAACCACGAUACCUUGCGGAGCUGCACGAUAGGAAACCCUUUCAAACUUGCCAUGUUCAAGUAGUUCGGCAACAGCCUUUGCCUCCUCUUCAGCUUUCAGGCUAAGCUUGUAACGAGUCCUGAAAUUGGGACACAAACCAAUGAAACACUUUUUCUUUGCUUUUUCUUCAUCUUGCAUCACUUUCUCUACUUGUUCAAGGAUCUUUUCGUCGACUGCAGACAGCCAUUUGUCAACAUCACCUGCGAUCUCCUCACCGUUUCGUUUAGCUGCAUCAACAGAAUUCUGUACUCCGUCCCUUGCAUCUUUCAGCCUAUUAGCUCGGUUCUUGAGGGUCUCAACAUUUUUCUGAUGAUUGGAAAGGAUUUGACAUGGUUUUUGAUAGGAGAGAUCGUAUUCUCUACAGCUUUAGCAACAAUAGAGCCAACGAUGGCAAUAACAAACUCCAUUGAGAGAGCAAACUGAAUAACCACAGCGACAACGAAGACCAAAACUUGAAUCAUCUUAUAUUUAAAAAAAAAAAAAAGAAAAAGAAAACUCAUUUGCAUAAUCUUAACUACCAUUGAAGAGUUAAAAUUUUAAAAUUAUAAAUAUGUGAUUAAUGUUACUUUUAUGACAAUUAAAGUGAUUUUGUUAAUAGAUAACUAUUUAUUAAUAUAGACAUAUAUCUAAUGAUAUUUUCUAAUAAUUAUCUUUUUUUAAGGAAUACUUUUUCCUAAGCAUUGAAGGAAUAAAUUGUCUUUUUACACUUUGAAUAUUUUUACAACACAUCUUUUAAAUUUUUUUAAUUAUUAUUUAAAAAUUAAAUCUUUCUAAUUAUUUUGAAAUAUAAUUUUUAUCAUUAAAUUAAAUUUCUUUUAAAUUAAUUUAAACUAAUUCAAAAUUAUACCUAUUUCUUAUAUUUUGAUUAAAGCAAUAAUUUAUGGGUGAUUAUUUGGUAUACUAGCAAUAUUUUUUUAUUCCACAAGCCAUUUUAAAAAGUUUAUGUGUCUCUUUUUUAAAAUUUUUAAUUUUUUUUAUAUUUUACUAUACUCUUAUAAAACACUUGUCAAUCUCUUGACCUUACUGAUGGAGUCUAAAAAUAUUGUUGGAAGAAUUACUUUUAUGGAAACUUUGAGGCAUAUUCUCAAUAGUUAAAAGUGGAGAGUUGAAUCAUAAUUUUAUGGUUUCAUAUUCUACUCCAUGAGACCUUUACAAUGGUAUAUCAUAUGCUCAAAAUGGUUGAGUGGUGAAUGAGAAAUUGAUGCUCAAAGUAAGCUACUUGAAAAUAUUGCUGAGAAAAAGUAAAGGGUCAGAUCCCACAUUGGUUAAAUACCAACGUGCUUAUGUAUGUGAACUCUCUUUAAAAAUAAUUGAAUAACGAAGCUUGUAACAUUGUCUCACGCGUAAGGGGGGUGUAGGUCCAAAUCUAAUGGGGUUGAGUGCACCUGCAUGACGUGGGCAACGCGAAAUGUUCGGGCCGGUCGGGCCCAUGCGGAUAUUUUAACCCCUGCGGAUAUUUUAUGCCCAACACGAAUUUAUUUUUCCUCAGAAGACAUAAUCUGCUUAUAUAUGGACAGUAUCUGAUUUGAUCUAAUUUUUAAAUCAAAUUGAUUUUUUGCUCAUUAUCCUAAAUGCCUAUAAAAGGUUGUGUAUUCUGGAGGAUUAAACACACAUUCAAAUAAUUUUUUAUGCCGAAAUUCUGUUCAUUUAAAAACUCUUCCUUUUCCUCUCUAUUUUCAAACAUUCUUCUGAUAGAAAAAGGCAAAAUUCGUUAGUUGAUUGUUGUAGAGGUGCUACUACUUUGAUCACUUUUGUUGUUGUAUCCUGGGAGACUUUCGACUAACAUUUCUCCAAGUACCGUAGGAGCGGCCGAAUCUAUCUUAAGGAAACUGUGUUUCACAGGCCUUAAUGUUUCGUAAAAUCUCAAUUCUUAUUUAUUUCAACUUUUCUUAUGUUUUUAUUUGAUUCAUAUUUAAUAAAUGAAUUAUAAAUCAUUCUAUUUAUAUUUUAUUUCAUAUGUGUUUAUUAAUAAUUAAUUUAUUUUGUUCGCUAAUGUGUUUUGUCCAAUAAAUAUUAAUAAUAAAUUGUGGAAAUUAUUUAGUAAGUGGAGGUUUUAGACUCUACAGAUAGAGUCAGGAGGUUGACAAGUGUCUUAUAAGGGUGUAGUAACAUAUUUAAAUAAUAUAGACAUAUGCCAAUUUUUUAAGCCUACUUGUGGAAUAAAAAAAGUACAUUGCCAUUGUACCAAAUACUCACUCUAUUUAUAUUUAUAUUUUUUAUUAUUUAUUUUUUAAUAUUAAUUCAUAUUUUAAAUAUUAUGUGAUAACAAAAUUAAAAUUUAUUAACAUUAAGAAGAAGGAUCCACUUAUAUAUGUAAAAGCUAAAGGAAUUUUACACACUUCCGUAACUAUUUAUAUAAUUAAUAUUUUAACAAUCCAACUGUUAUAUUUUAUGGUCUAUUCAUAUAGAUUAUACAUGUCAAAUUUGAUGUAAAUUUAAAAUUUCUAACUAUUUUAUUUUUGUAAAAAAAAUUUCAAUCGUUGAUUAUAUAUUAGUGUAUAGAGUAUUUUAGAUCGAUACGAUAGAGAUAUUGAAUCCGUUCAAAAAUUUACAUGCAUUACAAGUACAAUUAUAUAUAUUGAUAAAUUAAACUGUUAAAUCGUUAAAAUAUUAAUCAUAUAAAUAAUUACGGAAGUCUGUAAAACUAUUUUAGUUUUUACAUUAUAUAAGUGACAAUAUCAAUAAUAUCUUUUUGUUAUACUAAAAAUUUCUAACAAUAAUUUUACAAUAUAAGAAAAUUUUUUUUGUUUAUUAAUGUUCUUUUUUUUUUAAUUUCGCUGCACAUUUUUUAAAUUAGUUAAUUUUUUAAAUAUUGAAAUUUUAAAUUUCAAAAUAGUAUAAUAAUAAUUAUGUUAUAAAAGCAAUUUCUAAAUAAUAUAUAAAUAAACACUUUUAAAUAUAUAAAAAUAUGUAUUUAAAUUUUUUUUAAUGAUUUUUCAUAUAAUUUUAGUGGACCAUCAAACCAGCUUUCCAGCCAUAUAUAGUUUUGAAAGGAAAUAAAGCAUCGAAUAAAAAAAAAGGUGGUCGACUACAAGAUAAAUCACCCAACCUCUGAAUAAGCAUGAAGCAACAAGUUGUUGAUACAUCCCAAACACAAGUGCUUAUGCACCUUUCCUAAUACUCACCCCUUUUUUUCUACGAAUUUUAAACAGCUUUUUAGAGAUUUAAAGCAUAAAAGAAGUCUAUUCUCAUGGUUAAACCUGCCUGCCUAAGCUUAUUUCAAAAGAGUAAGAGCAAAGCAGGGAAAAGAAAAGCAGAUGGCCUACCUUUUGGCUAUGAUCAAUAACCGAUAGUUUUCCCCCUUCCGUUUUUUUCUUCUUAACAGAGCAAAGCCAGAAAGUAAUAAAUCGAGAAAGACGACUUCUUACUUGCUUUAAAAGUAGAAAUGACAACCCAAGAUGUCUUAUACCAACGUAUAAAUGAAUUAUUAGGUAUCCAUGUAUUACAUAAACAAGGUUUCUCUUUUUCUCCUCUUAAAGGUGGAGUGAAUGAGUUAUCCAAUUGUAUGAGUGUUUUCAUAUAAGGUCAUUUUCCUAAUUAAUUUCCUUUUUGCUUUCUCUUUCUUCAACCACCUAUUCCUCCUAUUAAUAUAUGUUUUUGGAUGACUUAUUUAAUGGAGUGGUUAGAAUCAAACAAAGCACAUCACAAUCAAAGUAGAAAAAGACAAGAAAUAAGGAAGAAUGUUUCCAAGGUUUAGAUAUCAUCUUUGACAGACAAUGCUAUGCUAUUGAUUAAUUUAUGUAUCAAUUGCAUUUCAUGGAAACAACUCAGAAAUGACAUGCCAACAGUCCCAAAAUGUCUUAUACUAAAAUAUAUUUUAUUUAUUUUUGACAAAAUGGUAGCUAACAAAAACACGCUUUUGACUUUGACUAAUGAACUUAUCACCUUUAGAAUGUUGAUUAUGAACAACACAUAAGCAACCAAACACACAAAGAUCAUCAAUUAAAGGAAGUCUACCAAACAACAAUUUUUUUUUUCUUAAACACCAAGCUUAGAUACCAUGAUAAGAAUAGGGUAAUAAUUCCUUUCAAUCUUAUUGAUAAGCUUCAAGAAUAUACAUAAUAUUUAUACAACAGUAGUCAUGUAGGAAUAGAAAAGAUAUAUAAUAUAUUCCUAAAUAUAUGCUUAAAAGAUAUAUAAUAAUAUACAAUACAUUUAGAUAUUCCUAAAAGAUAAUUUCUCAUAAUAAUAUUCCAACAGUGUACCAAAUACUAGCUAUAUUUUAAAUUAUAUUUGUUUGUUACAAGUAUCAAACUAUUACAGCACGAAUUAUAUAAGGAAUUACAAAAUAGAAUCAAAUCAUUAGAGCACAACGAGAAUAAAAGUCGGUACAAUCAAGACUAAAGCCAACAACUUAAAUUAACUGGAUUAAAACUCACAUAUGACCAUCGCAUAUUAUGAGAAUAUGGACUAAGCAAAGUUAAUAAUAUCAAUAUCAACUACACUAAAACUCGAUUAGCAUCUAUUUAAUAUUUUUAAUUAUCUUCAUUUUGACUAAACGUACAAAAAAAUGCUAGUGGGGCAUAAGAUUUUUUUCCUUUGUUUGUUGCUAUCUACUAUUUGUUUUUGUUUUCUUUUUUUCUAAUCAACAUUGAUUUCAUUCAUAAAAGAAAGAAGUACAAAGGUGCAAUAAACUACAGCAAAGCCACAUAGAGGGCAGGCCUGUUAAUGCAACCUACUAUUGAACAUACAAAGUAUUUAGCUAAUUUCAUUAUUCAUUUCUACUAUUUGGUCAUAUAAUUUUUUCCUUGUCAUUUACAUACCACAUAUCCAUCAUUAACAUUCUCUUCCAUAAUUCAUGUAUUUCACUUUUCAAUUUUACAGCUCAUUAAACUAAAUUAAUUAUUUUUGUCUUUCAUAUAAUCAUACACUUUCUUACAUUUUCACUUAAUUUAUGGCUUAUCAUACCAUAAAACUUUUCAUUUACAUAUCACAUGUUACUCAUAUAUUUUACAAAUCAUAAUCAUAAUUAGAAUAUCAAUAACAGAACUCCUAGAGUCCUAGGCCAAAAUAGAACUCUCGACCUUUUAACGAAACCCUGAUAAUAGAACUUCGAUAUCCUACCUGUAAACAAUAUUUCGAAGAACAAAAACAUCAACAUAUCAUAAACUGAACUCUUGUAUCGAUUGUAACCCCUAUUUCACCAAUCCUAAGAGUAAUUUUUUUUAUAUCUCAAACUCAUAUGAGAAAUUGGAAAUUGGAAAUUUCAGACAAAUUUUACAAAGUACACAAAGAAUAAAAAUUCAUAAUAAAAUUCAUAAAUUUAAAAAUUAAAAUUAAAUCAAAUAAGUCACUAACUUUCGUAUCUUGCUAUGUCUUCUUUUAAGGAAAUUUUAAUAUUCAAUAUCAAAUUUCUCAAUUUGCAAUCCAUUCAUUUUACUAACUAUUUUUUAUUUUUGAAUCUUAAUUAAAAAGGAGAGUAUUUGGUACACGGAUAAUAUAUUAUUUUUAUUCCACAAGCAACUUUAAAAAAUUUAUAUAUAUAUUUAUUUUUAAAUAUUUAUUUUUUAAUAUUUUAUUAUACUCCUGUAAGACACUUGUUAACCCAUUGAUUUUGUUGGAGUUUAAAAACUCCACUAACAAUGUACCAAAUAAUUUUCUAAUAAUAUUCAAAAAUCAAAAUUUUGAAAAAAAAAUCAUAAAAAUUAAAAAUAUAUAUGAAAUAUGCGUGAAUUAUUAUAUGUAUUUCAAAAUUUAACGUUUCCGUUAAAUAAUAAUUUAACUCUUUUUAAAAAGUUGAUGAUUAAAUUCAACUCUUUUUAAAGGGUUUAAAGCCAAAUUGUGUGACAUUGUAAAUUUUCUUUGGUGGCAUAGGGGUAUGGAAGGAAAAAUAAUAAUUGUGUGACAUUGUAAAUUUUCUUUCACUUCACAUGGAGGUUACCAAAAUGUUAAUCCAAACUGCAGAGCUAUGCCAUUUUGUACGUAAAAGACUUGCUAGCUUUGAAUGGGUAAAAAUAAUGUGAGAGUAACUUUAAAUAAUUAUAUAAAACAUACUAUUUUUUUUAUUUUAAAGAUUUUUCUUUUUUGAGAUUUUCUUACCUAUGAAAUUAAAAAAAAUAAAAAAUAUCUUUUUGAUAUUGAACAAAUUGGUCACUCUAAAAGAAAUAGAGUAGUUUAAUCCUUAUUAAUUUUGAAAGUAACCACGAACAAUUAAUCAAGCGCUAAUAGUUUAUGUUAAUUAUACAUAUUUUUUAUUAGUAUAAAAAUAAAUUUAAUCCUUGAUGAUUAUAUAUUUUACGUAAAUGUUGAUAGAAUCACUACACCAGAAUAGGCCUUUAGCGGCACUUUUAGCGGCGUUUGGAACAAAAGCGCCACAAAAAAUCGAGCAUUAGCGGCGAUUUAGUCAAAGCGCCGCUAAAGGUAGACCAUCAGCAGCGAUUUCCAAGAAGCGCCGCCAAAAAUAGGAAUUAGCGGCGUUUUAUAUAAAGCGCCACAAAAAACCUAAGACCAACGACGUCGUUUUUGCGAUUUUUAAACCUUUAGUGGCGUUUUUAUUUUAGCGCCGCUAAUUCUCCGAUCUUUAACGGCGUUUUUAUCUGAGCGCCACUAAUGUUCUGGCCUUUAGCGGCGUUUUUGUCUAAGCGCCGCUAAUGCUCGUAUCAUUAGUGGCGUUAUUGUCUGAGCGCCACUAAUUCUCUGUUCUUUAGCGGCGUUUUUUCUAAGCGCCGCUAAAGUUCGUGUUUUUAGUGGCGUUUUUAUUUGAGCGCCACUAAUACUCUAGCCUUUAGCGGCGUUUUAUAUGUAAGCGCCGCUAAUGCUACCUUUAGCGGCGUUUUUGCUGAAGCGCCGCUAAUAGUAACAAAAAUCUUAUAAGUUGAAAUAAUUAAUAUUUUGUUCUAUUUAUUAUAUAGUCAUGGUACAAUUUACAUAUAAAUUAUAAUUAACAAAUAAUAUUGAUUAAUACAAAAAGUUUUUAUUAAAUAGAAGUCGUAUAUAUAUAUAUAACAGCUAACUAUUUAUUACUAAUUUUCAAUCACAGUUGAUUUAAACUACUUUACGAGAGAAAAUAUAUUAAAUUAUGAAUAAAAUAAAAUAUAAUAAAACUUAAAUUUUUUUAUUGCAAAGAAUAAAUUAAAAAUAGAAUUAACUUUUAUAAGAGUAAUAAAUUUUGGUAGUACUGUUCGACCAAAUAAAUGAAAGGAAUUAUAAAACACCAAUUUAUACAAAAUAUAUUUUAACAAUUAAUUAUUGUUUAAUCGAUUUUGACUAUAUUUUAUGAUUAUAUAUAUUAAAUAUUUAUGGAAUUUUUUUUAUUGACGGUAUUUUAAGGAGGACUGGGUAUAGAUUUAAGGUUUGGGAUUUAAGGUUAAUUUAGGGUUGGAGGUUUAGGGGGUUUGAGAUUUAGGGUUUCAACGGUCAUGUUAGGUUUAAUUUAGAUUAGUAUUAGUUUUUGAUUAUUUUUUAUGGUAAAUAUAUAUGUUCUUAUAUAUUUGUAAAAUAUAGAUCUAGAAUAAAUUUAAUAUAUUGAAUAUUAAUAUAAUAGGUAGAUCAUCAUGAUGGAUUUAUGCAUGUCUAUUGAUUGGUUAAUUUGAGACUUGUUAAAUGAUACAAUUAAUUAUCUUGUAUAUUUAAAAACAUUUAACCCUAACCAUUUGAUUUUUUUGAUAUAUAUGGCUAUAGCAAUAGCAGAUGCAAAAAUAUCGAUACUUAAGUUCAAAAAUGGUAAAACUUAUAUUUAGAUCGAUCCAAACGAAAAUUAUUGUCAUAAAGAUAAUUUGCUACCAUAUUUCAAUGGUCAGGGGGUUUAGACGGUCAUGAUAGGGUUUCUUAAUAAGAGGUUAAUAUUAGAUUGAUUAAUUUUUACGGUAAAUAUAUAUAUGUUCUUAUAUAUUUGUAAAAUAAAUCCAGUUAGAUGAAAUUUAAUAUAUUGAAGUUUAGUAUAUAGUUUAUAUUAUAAUUAAUAUAUAUAUAUAAUAGCCUUUAGCGGCGUUUUAGUCAAAAAUGCCACAAAUAUUACAAUAUACGGCGUCGUUUCGUGAAUUAGGGAAUCAGAUUCUAUUGUGGCGUUUUAUAGGGAAGCACCGCUAAUAUUCUUGAAACUGUGUCAGAACAGCGUCGUUUCAGUUGAAUGAUGUACUCUAUUAGUGGCGUUUUAAGGGAAAACGCCGCAAAUAUGUCUACAAUUUUGUGAAAACGUCACCGUUUCUUUCUGUAAUUGAAAAUUUAGUGGCGUUUUUUCCCGUAGCACCGCAAAAGGCAUGCAAUAGCGGCGUUUUUACGCAAAACGCCGCAAAUGUAACCUAUAAUUAAUUUAAACGGCGCUGUUUCUUUAAAGGCCAUUUAACCCGUGUCCUCAUCCUUUACGAACUUAUUAUCGAAAAAAAUGCAUUUUCUAUACCAAAUUUUAUAAUAAAAAAUUGUUUUUUAUACAAAGAGACAAAACUUGUUGUACCAAGUUUAUUAUAACAAAUUUCAUCCAUUUGUUAAGAGGACAUUCGAAGCUUCAUACGAAAAUUUGUCAUAAAGAUAAUAUUGCAUCCUUAUUUCAACUUUAUACAAUAUUUUUAACUAUAUAUAUAAGUUAUUAUAUUUUAAUAGAUUUUCACUAUAUUUUUUUUAUUAAAGAAUAUUUAGGGAAUAUUUUGGUCGAUGCAUGGUAUUCUAAGGAGUACGGGCCGGUAUAUAUGAAUUUAAGGUUUGGUAUUUAUGGUUUAGGGUUUAAGGGCUAGGUUAUGCUUUAGGGGUUACAGACGUGAAUUUAAGGGUUAAGGAUAAGGUUAAUUAGGGUUUAGGGUUUAGUGAGGGUUACAGAUGUUUUAGGGGUUUGGCCAGGGUUUAGGGUUUCUUAAUAGGUUAAUAUUAGAUUGAUUAAUUUUGGAGGUAAAUAUAUAUGUUCUUAUAUAUUUGUAAAAUAUAUAUCCAGAAUAAAUUUAAUAUUAAGAUAAGUUUUGAGUAUAAUAGGUAGGUGAUCACUUUAUGCAUGUACGUAGCUACAUAAAUUGAAUGGUUAAUAUGAAGAUAACAAGGUUAAUUUAUAAUUUGAGACUUGUUAAAUGAUACAAUAUAACUAAUAAUAGUUAUAACUGGCAAAACAUUUAACCCAAAUUAAUGUCCAUUUGAUAUAUUUUUACUUAUAUAUGGAUAUAUAUGAAUAUAUAUGGAUAUAUAUAUAUAGUUAUUAAUUAUUUAAUUUGUAAAUAUAGGACCAAAAUAAAAUUGGUAUAAAUAAAUAAACAAAUAAAUAAGUUAGUAAUUAUUUAUUUGUUAAAUAAAUUGGUAAUUAAUUAUUUAAAAGUAAGACAAAAAGAAAAUGAGAGUUUUAGCGGCGUUUCUAUAUAAAAACGCCGCAAAAGGUAUCCUUUACCGGCGUUUUAGUCAAAAACGCCACAAUUAUUGCAAUAUACGGCGUCGUUUCGUGAAUUAGGGAAUCAGAUUCUAUUGUGGCGUUUUAUAGGGAAGCGCUGCAAAACUUACAUAACUUAACUUAAACGGCGCCGUUUCGUCAGCGGACAAAUUCACUUACAUCAACCCUUAACAAAAUUCACUUACAUCUCUGCCUCUGUCCUCCAGUUACAGCUACCCUUAACAAAAUUGCAGAGAUUAGGUUUCGAAAUUUUCUAAGUGUCGAAAUUACAGAAAGAAGUGUGUAAAAACUUAUCACGAAAAAUAGAAAGGGAAGAAAGGUGGUCGGAGUCGAUCUUGAAAGAUGGUGGGCACAGCUGCGAGAUUUGUCGAUUGAAUAGGUAAGCCAUUUCUGUUCUUUUUCGAUUAAAUUUUUGGGGUUUUAGGUUAGUCUAAGUUAUUUGGGGUUUUAGGGUUUCGAUUAAACAACAUAAUUUGUGGGGAAUCAUUAGAUGAUGGGGAAUAGGUAAGACGUCUCUCGUCUUGGAACUGUGUUUGAAUUUAAGGGGAAUUUUACUCAUGUCUUUGCCAUCCAUUCUUUUUCUUUUACAGAAGAAAAAAGUGGAAUUUGUUUGAACUGGAACAAGGCAAGAACAAGAACAAGGCAAGGCAAAGGUAAGGCAAUGGUGUCUGUACAAGCCCAAUUUUCAUGCCCGGGCCCAAUUAACCUCUAGCCCAAGCAAAAACAAAACACAAAACCUGUUAACAAUUGAACCAAAACCAAUUAACUUACCCAACUAGCCUAACCCGGAACCCAAUUACAAACAGACCCAAUUACCAUUAACCUAACCUACCCAAUCCAUUACAGAACAGGCCCAAACCCGAGGCCCAAUGUCUUAGCCCAGUAAGCUAACUGCCAAAACUAGGGUUUCAGAAAAUCUGAAACCCUAGCGCCGCACCUGCUCCUGGCCUCCUCACCUGCCCUCUGUUCACAGCCGUCACCACGCCCACUUGCCCCAGACCUACCGCCACUCCUCUGGUAGCCACCAACUCCACCGCCAUCGUCACAUCACCUGCAAAGAAGAUGGCAAACACGCAAGCAGAAACGAAGACAAACUCUAUUUCUUUCUUUCGGCUAUAAAAGGCCAGACCUAUUAUGUUUAAGGGGCUUGAAUCUUUCUUUGUAAAAAAAAACGCAUAUCAGAAUCAGAAAUCAAGGGAAAUAAAAGAGGUUCUUGUUUCUUAUUCUUUUUUUCGAUUCUAUUUUUUAUUUUAUUUUAUCGUUUUACAAAUCUUUUUAAAAAAAAAACUAUUAAUCAAAAAGAAUAAAGAGGGGCUUACCGAAUGCCUCGUGACCGCAUCGUCGGAGGGCCGUUCUCCGUCAUCAGGACCGAUUUCGGGAAGGGAUUGUGAGCCCCAGUCCCGGCGCUCGUGGGGGUUCAAGGACCCGACUCUCAAGUCGCCUGGAGGCAGGGCUUUUAAAAACCCUUUUGUUGUGCUUCUUUGGCCGCCGAUUUCGUGGCGGUACGGCGGACGGACGGUCAGCGGUGAGAGCCCAACCGUUGGAAGGCAUAGGGAAGCUUUGAGAGCUUUCUGCAGUUUUUUUUGUGUGGGAUGGGGAAAAAAUGAAAAAAAUAAAAGAAAUGGGUGCUUUUAUAGCAGUAAUAAAACGGCGCCGUUUUGGCCCUUAGGAUCCGCACGCGACCCGACCCAUUCCAGGGGAUCCGUGUGUUUCCGUUCAAUGGGCUAUUUGCAACCCAGGUCCUCCGCUUUUAUGCUUGUCUUCAAUUUAAUCCUUUCACCCUUUCGUUGGCAUUUAUUAAUUUGGCCCCGCAGUUUUUGCGUUUAUUUCAAUUCGGUCCUGAAUGAAAUGACGGGCUAGAAGUUGGGGAUAUUCUCCCAAUCGGUCCCUUGCUCUUGCAGCGCAUUUUAUUGUGGUCCAUGGGAGCCCUUUUCUAUUUAUUUGCACUUUAGACCCCAUGUUUUGUUUCUAAAUUCAGUUUAGUCGAUUUGUUUAUUUAUUUUAGUUAUUUUAUUAAUAAUGUUAAUAAAUUUGAUACUAUCAUGGUUAUUAUUAUGUGUAUUACUGUUGUUAUAUGUUAUUUAUAUUAACUUAUUUUAAUAUCAAAGAUAUUUGUUUUUAUAUUGAUAUUACUAUAUUUAUAUUAUAUUGAUAUUAUUUAUAUCUUUCUUAUUUUUCAAACUUUGUUACAUGUAUAUAAUGAAUAUAUCUAUAUACAUAGAUUUUUUUUUACUCGUGUAUAUACAUACAUACAUAUUUAUCUUUGGUUUUAUAUUUCUAAAAUACAUAUGUACAUAUUUACACUGUUUUAUUAUAUAUAUACUUUUAUAUUUUAUAAUUUUAAUCUUUUUGUUAUUUACUUAUUUAUUUAAGUUCUCAUGAUUAUUUUAAGAGAAUGUUUUAUUUUUAUUUGCUUAUACAUUUGUUAUUUUGUGAGUUGUUGGUUUGUUCUUUUAUUUAUUUUAUUUUGAUUGCUAUUGCUCGUAUUUUUUAUACUUUUUAUACUUUCAUAUUCAUUAUGGUUUUACCAUGCAUAAAAAAUGUAAUUUGCUUUCGUAUUUUUUGUUACGGUUUUCGUGUUUUUUUAUUAUACUCGAUUUAACAAAAUUGGUUUUGAAUAAAUAAUAUUUCGUGUUUAGAUUCGAGAAGGUCGUACCCUAACUUACUGGGUUUCGAUUUUCACGAUAAAUCUAAAUGUAUGAAUCUUUUUGAACUCAAAUUUUAAAUGAUCUCGAAAUUUAAGAAAAGGGGUCGCGUCCUAACUUACUGGUUAUGAUCUCAUUUUUAAAUUCGAGAUGGCCAAAAUUUCUUAAAUAAACUUUCUCAUCCGCGUAUCGAAAAUUCGAGACAUUGUGUCCUAACUCACUGGAUAUGAUUCUCCUUCUCGAAUAACGUGAAAUAUGCCCCUUUUUCCUGAAAAUUUUCAACGUUUUAAUACAAGGAUCGUAUUUUUAAAAUUCUUCAAGGUUCUCAAUUUUUGACAUUAAGACAUUAAGUAAUCAACUAGGUACCAAUUUUGGGCGUAUCGAGGGUGCUAAUCCUUCCUCGUGCGUAACCGACUCCCGAACUCGUUUUUUUCUGAAUUUCGUGGACCAAACUUGUUGUUUUAAUAAAAUCAAACCGUUUAUUAAAAACAACCAUUUUUCGAGGUAAUCCAAUCACACCUCAUAAAAAAGGAUUGGUGGCGACUCCCAUUCCCGUUUCUUUUUUCAAAACCCAAGUCGACCCCAUUUUCAUCCAAAAAAAAUGGUAUCAACAGUGUCGAUGGCUUGAAUUGAAUCUGUCCAUGUUGUAUUGAAAACAUUGUCGAAGACAUGAAUGAGACAUGCAUUCUUAAUAGCUAGAGAAAUGAGUAUAAAAGUGAAGGAGAAUAAUAGAGUGAUUAACAAGUUUUAGACUUUGAUUUACAAGGAUCUUCACAAUUCUUUCUGCCAAAACUCAAUUUGUGUUUUUGGUUUAUAAAAGGCUACAAACUGCCAAAUUAAUUAUUUCUCAUCACCCAAUUGCCUCCGUUUUCUUUUCCAGAUAUAAUUAGAAUGGUUUUAACCCACUAAUGAUUUCAGGUGAAGAAUAUGAUGGUUAGAUUUUGGUGUGAAUUUGACGUGUUUUAUUUCUUUGGUGUGAAUUUGACGUGUUUUAACCCACUAAUGAUUUCUCAUCACCCAAUUGCCAAAUAAUUUGCUGUUUGCUGUGACUUAUUUCUUUUUAAAGAUGGGGUGAUGUGAUUAUAAUGUAGUAUCAAUGUAGGAAUCAUUACUGAAGUUUUGGGAAAUUAUUAGACAAGUAGGUAGACUAUUGCUGUUAGUUUAAUUGAUUUAAUGGAUUGUUUUUCUGUCAUGUUAUUUUGGGAACAUAUAUAUAUGUUCAAUUUUGGGAACAUGUUAGUUUGGGUACAGUUAUAUAUGUUCAAUUUUAAACCUCUAAUAUCAUCUAAUUCACUGUCAUGUUUCAACAUAUAUUCAUAUAUAUUUUCAUAUAUAUGUUCAAUUUUAGUUUUUUUAGUUUAGCUAACUUUGUGAGUAUAAACUCCUGUUUUUUUAAGUUUUUUGGCUUUAAUUACUUAUGUUUUUUCGGUACGUACUAAUGUAUUUCUGUCUUUUUUUUCCAGGAUUUGCUUCGGAAUUGAGUGGAUUUAAGGUAUUUAUUCCUAUUUUUCUCUAUUUAGGUUUCUUAUAAAAAAAGUCAAAUUGUUAAAUUUUUAUAUGUUAUUAUAUUUUAGUUGUAUAGUUUAAUUAUUAUUUUUCAUUUUUAGAUGGGAGUUUUAAUUACCAUUUUAGCUAAAUUUGCAUUUUACUUUGCAUCUUAUUACAUUUUUUGAUGUCUAAAUUUUCUGCUCAAGAUAUUCGGCAAAGAUCACAUUGUUUUAAACUAUUAAAAUUCGGAAUACAACUCUUAAACAAAUUUAUAUAUUUCAGUAAUUGAAUAAAUUAUGGGCGAAUCGUUUUAUCGGUUUAGCGUUUAUAAAUCAUCGAUUUCCGAUAUUAUGUGUUGCAAUUAUAAAUUUUACUUCAAAUUAAUGAUUAAUUAUCGAUCUUAACUUACAUAAUGGGAAUUCGUUAAUGAUUAAGAAUCUUUUACAUACAAAUAAAUUUGUAUAUUUAUUUAUAUUUUUUAUUAAAAUAAAAAUAUACUUUUUCGAAAUAUAUUUAUUUUGUAAUGGAAAUUCAAAGUAUUAUUUCUUUAAUAAUAAAAAUUGUUUUCAUAAAUAUAAACAAAUUAAUUAUUUCUUGUAAUUCGAAGUCAAUGUUCUUGUAUGAUUGAACUAACAUCAUUUGUUGUUUGAAUUAAUAAAAGCUACAAAAUAUACAUCAUAUCGUAACGAUCUUUGAAUUAUCCGGAGAUUAAAGCUACAAUAUUAUAUUUUAAAUGAAAUGUAUUCAAAGUUAUAUUGAUAUAUUUAUAUACAGUUUUAAUAUAUUAAUUAAAAUUAUAUUGAUAUAUUUGAAAAAUUUAAAGCGUUUAUAAAUCAUAAUUUACAUACAUAACACAUAGCCUACAUGACUUAUAUAAUACACAACUUAAAUAAUUUAAAUAACUUACAUUCAUAACUUACUCAAACUUAUAUUGCAUUUCCUUACAUAAUACAUAACUUAUAUAAAAUUUUUAUAUAAACUUACAUAAUACAUUACUUACAUAUUAACUUACAUAAGUUAUCUACAAGCUUAUAUUUAAACUUUCAUAACUUACAUAAUAGCAUAACAACUUACAUUAUACAUAGCAUACAUAACUUACAUAACUUAAAUAUCUUACACACUACAUAAUACAUAACUUACAUAAUACAUAAUAACUUACAACAUACAUAACAUACAUUAGUUUGAUAACUUACGUAAGUUACAUAACUUACAUAAUACAUAAAAAUAUAUCAUAUCAGAAAUUUUUGAAAUUCAUCUAUGGUUAUAACUGGCGUUUUAACUUACCCGUGCAAAUUAUUGUGAACGUCAGAAUUCAAUAAUUAAGAAAUGGACCGGUCUUGGAUGAAUUUGUCAAGGGUUAGCAAUGGUUAUCGAAAUGGAGUACAGUGUUUUCUAAAUUUUGCAUUUCAACAUGCAAGCCAAGAGAACAUGAUUCUUUGCCCGUGUAAGAAGUGUGUCAACAAAAACUGGCAUUAUCGUGAGGUUGUAUAUGAGCAUCUAAUUGUUGAUGGGUUUGUUCGGGGUUAUAAACAAUGGUUAUUUCAUGGAGAAUGCCCGCGUAGUACUUCCUCUUCAACGAUGGAUGUAUCUUACUCUGGUACUGCUUACCAUCAGUCUGAUAGAGGGGAUGACAUGGAAGGUAUGUUGCGGGAUGCAUUUAAUAUGCAUAAUCAUGGUGUCCAGUCGUUCCCAGCGGACUUUGUGGCUUCUGAUGAAUGUAAUAUUGGGAGAAAUGCUUUUACCGAACCGGGAAGUAGUGUACCUCAUGAAGAGCCGAAUGAAGAAGCGGCGAAGUUCUAUACGCUACUUAAUGACAUGAACGAAGCACUGUAUGAGGGAUCAAAAUUUUCAAAAAUGUCUUUCUGUGUUCGUCUUUUUCAAUUAAAAUGUUUGGGAGGGUGGACCGGGAACUCUUUGACAAUGCUGUUAGAGUUCUUGAGAGAGAUGUUUCCCUUUGCAAAAAUCCCUCAGUCAUGCAAAGAUAUGAAGAAAAUGAUAAAAGAUUUAGGCCUUGGGUACAACAAAAUCCAUAGUUGCCCAAAUGACUGCAUGUUGUAUUGGGGCGAUCGGAGAAAUCAACAGUGCUGUCAUGUAUGCGGCCACUCCCAUUGGGUAAGUAAAAAUACAGAAGGUGGGAACGACGAUGAAAAUGUAACAGCCCGAUUUUGACUCUAAUUGGACAUAGUGGUUUCGGGACCACAAGUCCGAGUUAAAAAAAUAUUUUAAUAUUAUUUCAUGUGUUUAUUAUAUGUUAAUUUACAUGUGUGAAAAUCUCGUGAAUUAAUUUUAUUGUUUGUGUGCUUAAUUUAAUAAAAGGACUUAAUCGCAUAAAAUGUGAAAUUGACUAAUUAAUGUGUAAAGUGCUAACUUGCUAAUGUCUUUAUAAUGUGAAGUCCUUAAUAGGAAAUUAGGCCAUUAUUCAAGAUAGUGGAUCGCAUUAUGCUUAUAAAUUAUAGUUUUUAUAUUAUGUAUAAAGGUUAUAAUAAUAUAUUAUAUUAUAAUGUUAAUAUAUUAAAAGACAAACAAAUUAAAAGCCACAUUUUUCAUCUUAUUUUGACCGAAACUAGAGAAAAGAAAAAGAAAGAAACCUAAGCUAGGUUCGGCCAUCUUUUGAAGCUUAAUUCAAGGUUAGUUUUUGUUCGGUUUUUGAUGAUUUUUACGUUUUUGAGAUCGUUGCUUUGAAUACUUCAAAACCCAUGUCUUAAUUUUGUGAAUUGAUGAAUAUUUUGAAUUAUGCCAUUGAUGAAUAUUUGUGUUUUGGGAUGUUUGAUGAUGAAUAAUGGAAGAUAUGUCUUAGAUUAACAUGUUUUGUAUUGGUAUUUUUGAUGAAUUUGAGUAUUUAGGGCUAAAUUGUGAAAAUAAAUUUUUGAGGGACUAAAAUGUGAAAUAAAUGCAAUGUGUGGACUUGUAUGAGAACCAUGAAUAUUCGGCCCUUGUGUGUUAUGGGCAAAUUUUGUGUAUUUUGUGUUUUGUGCAAAAAGGACUAAAUUGCAAAAAGUGCAAAAUGUUAGGGGAAAAAUGGUAAUUUUCCCAUUUAUGUAUUGUUGGACUCAAAUGAAUGUUUUGAUGAAUAAAAAGGUUAAAUUUGACUAUGUUUAGAUCAAGGAACGAAGAAAACGAAUUUGGAUCGGGGGAAGUCGAAGAUAAUUGAAUAGUCGAUCGUGUUUGCUGAUAUCCGAGGUAAGUCUAUUAGCUAUUUAAUGUCAUAAAAUCAGUAUAUAAAUAAGUAUAUGAGCUGUUUUUGGAUGAAUUAUAAUUAAAAAUAUGAUAGUUGAAAUAAUUAAAAGUAUGAGUGAAUUAUAUAUAUUAUGCAAAUCUACAUCUAUAUGUUCUCGUAUUGAACUUAGGUAUGCCAUUUAUACAAGUUUAUAAGGGGUUCGACUAUGCAACUAUGCAUGUAUAUGUUCUUGUGAUAAAUUUAAGUAUGAAACUUAUAUAUGAAAAAGGGAGAUUCGAUUAGGUAUGUAUGUUCUUGUAAAGGUUCUUGAACGGGGUUGAAGAGAUGAAAUUAUUAGCUUGGAUUAUCUUAAUGUGUUCGAAAGUACGAUAUUAAUAGUAUGCUUCAAUGUGUUAAGUUAUAUAUAUAUAUAUAUAUUCGGAUGUAUAAUUUAGAUAUUGAGUUGAAUUUGAUGAUUGAACUUUUUAUACCGAUGUGGGUUAAGGAUAUAGUUUAUAAAUGAUUGAGCUGAAUUUUUAUGUGAAUUCUAUAUACCAUUAUGAUAUACAACUCCUAUGAAUUGAGAUUCUUUUGUUAAAGCUCAGUAUCAUUCGGUUUAUCGUUAGUGACAUAAUUCAGACUUUACGUCUAGCAGGCUUAACGUCGGUGAAAUUAUUCAGACUAUAAGUCUAGCAGGCUUAAUGCCGGUGACACAUUUCAGGCUAUAAGUCUAGCAGGCUUAAUGCCGGUGACACAUUUCAGACUAUAAGUCUAGCAGGCUUAAUGCCGGUGACACAUUUCGGACUAUAAGUCUAGCAGGCUAAGAGCCGGUGUAUUGAAUCAGGUUUUAAAACCUAGCAGGCUAAAUGCCGGUGAAUCCGUUUAAAGCAUGUGAUAAUAUACAAUUGAUACCUCUAUGAUUUUGAUUAUAUGAAAUCGAUGUAUACAUAAAUGUUCAAUCACAUGAUUUUAGUCAUAUUAACUUGAUGAGCAUAUAUAUAUAUACAUAUAUUUGGUCUAAGCAAUUGAUAGAUAUGUAUAUAUAUAUAUGUUGCAUUCGGCAUAGGUGAAUAUAUUUAUGUGUAUGCAUUCGGCAUAGGUGAAAAUAAGUGUAUGUAUCUAUGCAUUCGGCAUAGAUGGGUAUAGGUGCAUAUGUGCAUUCGGCAUUUAUGGAUGAUAAGCAUAAAAAUUUGGCUUUUGAUAUAUGUAGUUGAAUAGUUGUAUUUAAAUGGAUUCGAUGAAGUGCGAACAAUAAGUACUCUAGAAAUCAGUAUAUGCUGUUAAGGAUUAUGCUAGUAACUUGAUUAUAUGCAUAUAAUGUAUAUACAUUUGUCCGUUUAUGUGUAUUAGAUAAAUAUACAUCCUUUUAGACUUAAACAAAAUGACUCAAUAAAGUAGUGUUUGAUUAGUAAUCAUAUUUGAUGAUUGUAAUUUCAAUAAAUUUACUUAAAGAAUUAUAUGAUUCUUUUAUAUGUAUUAUAGAUAUGCUGUAGACUUACUAAGCUAUAAAAGCUUACUUUGUUUGCUUUCGUUCAUUCGUUUUUAUAGAUUUUUUUUUUGGAGACGCGUUACGAGCUCGGGGAUCAUCAGCACCGCCCAUCACACUAUCGACUUUUUUUUUGGUAUUUUGUUAAAUAUUUGAACUCGAUCUUAUGGCAUGUAUAGGCUUGAUAAUGUUUUGGAUAAUUUUGAAUCCUAUUGUGUAAAUAGCAAUGCGAAAAGAGUUUAACUUCCAUGCUUGAAUUUGAUUAUAUAUGUUCAUGAAUUGGACUUGCAUUUGGAAUUAGAUAUUAAAGUUAUGUUUAUGUGAGCUUGGUUUCGUAAUGCCUCGUAACCCUGAUUCGGCGACGGAGACGGGUUAGGGGUGUUACAUAAAAUGUUGCACAACCAAGUCAGAAGCCGGUCAAGAUUUUACGAUAUUUUUCGUUGAUACCAAGGCUUCAAAAGCUUUUCAUGUCGUCGAAGACAGCGGAGUCUAUGACGUGGCACCAUGACGGACGAACCGAUGAUGGGAAGAUGAGGCAUCCUGCAGAUUCUUUAGCUUGGAAAUCAUUUGAUAAUAAAUAUCCAAGCUCUGCAAGCGAUCCUAGGAGUGUGAGGCUUGGGCUAGCAUCUGAUGGAUUUAAUCCUUUCAAGAUCAUGAGUACUGCGUACAGUACUUGGCCAGUAGUUCUUGUUCCUUACAAUCUGCCUCCGUGGAUUUGCAUGAAGAAAUCUUCCCUUAUUUUAUCUAUGAUUAUCCCUGGGGAGAAAGGGCCUGGGAAUGAUAUCGACAUUUAUUUACAGCCACUUAUUGAAGAGUUAAAACAAUUAUGGGCUGGUGUCGAGACAUACGAUGUGCUGAGAAAAGAGAACUUCAAUUUACGUGCAGCUUUGAUGUGGACCAUUAAUGACUUUCCUGCUUAUGUCAAUUUAUCCGGUUGGAGUACCAAGGGUCUUACGCGUGUCCUUGUUGUGCUGCACAAACAUGUUCACAAUGGUUGUACAAUGGGAAGAAGUUCUCUUACAUGGGGCAUUGUCGGUAGUUACCAGAAAAUCAUAGAUUUAGAUUUCAGAGUUCUGCAUUUGACGGCACUGAAGAGUUCAGAGAAGCUCCUUCCCAGACCAGUGGCUCUGAAAUCUUGUUCAUGUUGGAAGAUAUGAAUUUCAUUUAUGGGAAGAUGAACCAACCGCCAAACACACAGAGAAACAGAAGAUCAAAUGAUGAAGCUGAUGAAAGCUCCGACGAAGAGGACGAUCCUAAUGAGGCGGACUUGUGGAAAAAAAGAAGUAUUUUUUUUAGUUGCCUUAUUGGGAGCAUCAUCUUUUACGACACAAUCUUGAUGUUAUGCACAUUGAGAAAAAUGUCUGCGAGAACAUUGUGGGUACAAUUUUAAAAGUCGACGGAAAAUCAAAAGACAAUCUUCAGAGUCGACUUGAUUUAGUCCAAAUGGGAAUUCGGCCUGAUCUUCAUCCCAAUCCACUUCCAAAUGGGAAAUAUCGGUUGCCGCCUUCUAUUUUCUCAAUGUCCAAGAUGGAGAAAGAACUGUUUUGCAUGGUGUUGAAGAAUAUAAAGGUUCCGGAUGCGUAUGCAUCAAAUAUAUCUCGAUGUGUUAGUGUUAAAGAGCGAAGAUUAUAUUCGCUAAAAUCACAUGACUAUCACAUCUUGAUGCAAGAUUUAAUGCCAGUUGCUCUACGAUGUUGUAUGUCCAAGAAGGUGACGUCUUGUAUGAUUGAACUAUCCAACAUAAUGAAAGCCAUCUGUGGCAAAGUUUUGGAUGUUCAAGAACUUCAGAAGGUACAGGAUCGAGCCGCUUUGACUUUAUGCAACAUGGAGAAAAUCUUCCCACCUUCCUUCUUCACCAUUAUGGUUCACUUGAUAAUUCAUCUCCCGCACGAAGCAAUUCUUGGCAGACCUAUUUUCUAUCGAUGGAUGUAUCCCAUAGAAAGGUGUUAAAGAAGUAUUUUUUCAAUUUUUCUUCAUUCACCUCUAUGCCUUUAGUUACAACUUUUGAUAAUGUUGUAUAUUGUGUUUAGGUUCCUAUCCAAAUUAAAAUCUUACUGCCGCAACAAGCGAUAUCCAGAAUGAUCGAUUGCUGAAGGCUACUUGGCAGAGGAAUGUAAGACCUUCUGCUCAAGAUAUUUGGAAGAUGUCGAAACAAGGUUGAACAGACCAAAUAGGAAUGCUGGACUCACGGACUAUAACUUAGCCGAUACUUAUUUGUUCCAAAGUUUUGGAAAACCAAUCGGCAAAGUUGAAAUUGUAGAAUUAGAUCAUUUAUCGUGGGUACAAGUACAUCGAUAUGUUCUGUUUCACCACGAAUCAUUGGAACCUUUACGGAAGUAAGUUAUACAAAUUUUAAAAAUAUUUAUCGAACUAAAAAUUGUUUAUCUUCUAACAAAGAUCACAUUUUAUUUAACAUAGUGAGUACAAACAAAUAUUGAGAUCUCGUUCGCGCUCCCGAAGAACACAACAUCGAGAUAUCAAUAAGUUGUUUAGAGAAUCUUUUUAUGAAUGGUUAUGCCAAACGAUAUGCAGUUCGAGCUUUCGCUUACAAAUUAUAAUGAUUUCUCAUAACAUUUUUAAUUAGUCAGUUUACUUUCCAUUCAAUAGGUUUGGAGUGGGAAGAGCGUAAACGACGAAGUUAAAUGGCUCUCCUAAGGUCCAAAUCAAGUGGUUAAAAGAUAUAGUGUGUUCCUCAUCAACGGAUUCAGAUUUCAUACAAAAUAUCGGGAGAGGUUGAGGAGAACGCAAAAUUAUGGAAUAGUUGUUAAUUCUGCAAUUACAAGUUAUGCUAGCGCUAGGGACAAUAAUCCUGUCGAGGGAAAUGUGGAAUAUUUCGGACAGCUUACUGACAUUAUUGAGUUGGAUUACUACGGCAAAUGGAAAGUUGUCUUAUUUCGAGGUGAUUGGGCCGAUGUUAAUACAGCUCGUGGAAUCAAGCAAGAUCAAUUUGGUUUUAUAAUGGUGAACUUUGACCGAUUGAUUCACACAGGACAACAACUGAUAGAUGAGCCGUAUGUAUUCUCAAGUCAAGUCAAACAAGUUUUUUACUCAAAAGAUCCAACUGAUGAGGGUUGGUACAUUGUACUCCGUAACAUCCCUAGAGACUUGUUUGACAUGGGCAGUGGAAGUAGGGAUAACAUCGACGACAGAUCAGAAACUUUGUCAUUUCCAGAACAAAACUUAAAUGAUAAUAUCCCUAGUACUAGUGCACAAUUUCAAUGGGUUCGUCAGGAUACGGAUGAAGAUAUUUACGAAUAAUGAUGUAGUAAGAUUUUACGAAUGUUUAAUUAUAUGUAAUAUCAUCAUUUAUAUCUUGGUCUCGUUAUAUCAUAUCAACUGUUUUAUAUGUGCUGUUAUUGUUGUAAUUAGUUAUUAAGUUUUCAACUAUUUUAUGUGUAUUGCAGAUAAAAUGCCCAGAAGAAAAAUUCUAAGGGGAAGCAUUGUUCAAAAUGAUCCAAACUCGACAGAAACAAAUAGUACUGAACAACAGACAGCAAUUGGAUCUUCGAAUGUUCCGAUUACAGAUGAGGAUCCUACAGAAGUUCAAAGUAAUUUUACAUUUAAUUUACAAGCGUGUUAACUUAUAGUUGAUUUAUCUUUCAAAUUCUUAUAUUAUAAUAUACCAUUUGUAGCUGAAAAUGGAGGGAUGCGCAGAGGUCGAGGACGUACGCUACUUAAAGAGUUAUACGAGUUAGAUCCAGUCGAGCGUGUCAAGGUAUGCAGAAACAGUUUUGGUCAGCCUGUUGGAUCAGAAGCUUGACUUUUAGUAGGAUACAUGGGCAUUUUAGCACGAAAUGUGAAUAUGUUGCCUAUCAACUACGAGUCAUGGCGUGAAAUGCCCGAUAGCAACAAAAAUCAAGCCCUCGAUAAUAUUAAGGUAACAAAAUGUUAAUGUCAUCUGUAAUGCUUGGGAAAUACUUUCUUUUAUAUUUACUUUAUUAACUUGUGUUUUUUGUAGGCGAGGUUUGCUUUAGAGGUCUCCGAUGCUUAUGUAAAGAUGGCAUUGGGAAAAAGAUGGAGAGACAAUAAAAGUACGUUGAAAAAAAAUUAUUAUAAGACAAAAACAACCCUCGAUGAGAAAUUGCAAAAUGUCCCGCCGGGUAUGUUGAGGUACCAAUGGGAAGAUGCGGUUAGAUUUUUGCAAUCGAAGAAAGGCGAGGUACGACGUACUUCCAAACUAUUGUAAUUAUUUUGGUUUAUACUAUUUACUAUUUACGUUCUAAAAAUUUUAUAAUGUAGGAUUGUGAACGAGUUGGAAAAAGUAGCCGGCAGCAACAAAAAUUCACUCACACAGCCGGGUCAAGAAGUUUUGCAUGUGUAGCUGAGGCGGAGGUAUUUCUAAUUUUUUAAUAUUCUCAAAUAUGUAUAACUUUCUAUUAAAUAAUAUUUUUACUACUAUAUUGUAGGAACGGGCGUCCGGUCAAAAAGUUGGACGCCUUCAACUUUUUGAAAUUACACAUAAGAAGAAAGAUGGAUCUGCUAUGACUCUUGAAGCUGGUGAAAUUAUGGUACGUUUGCUUAAUACGAUUUGACUUGUUUUAGUUAUUUAUAGUGUUUCUUUACUAAUGGUUUAAUUUAUUGCUUUUAAUGCGACUAUUGUUAUAUUGCAUUUGUUUUUUUUAAUAUAUAUUGUGUUCCUAACUAUGUGAUUUAUUUAUUAGGAAAAACUAAAGGAUAAAAAGACGGAGUACGAAGCGAUUGCGUCUACUGAUAGUUCUAUUCAUCUUGAAGACAUUGACAACCGGAUUAUUACUGAAGUUUUGGGUCCAGAAAAGUAUGGUCGGGUUCGAUUUCAAGGAUCUUUUAUCAGCCCAACCCAAUAUUUUGGAACCAGCUCGCACCAAUACAUGGCUUCGGGGAGUCAAUCUCAAGCUGAAGUUCAGAGGUUAAAAGACCAGAUGGCUCAGAUGCAAGCGACCACAUUUGAGGUUCAAAAGAAAUAUGAAGAACUUCAGCAACAACUUAAAACAGAGGCGGCAGCGAGGGAAGCAGAGGCUGCAGCGAGAGAAGCAGAGGAUCAAAAGAAAUAUGAAGAACUACAACAACGACUUCAAGCAGAUGCGGCAUCGAGAGAAGCAGAGCAGAGCAGAAAGUAUGACGAACUUCAACAGCAACUUCAGAUGAUGAUGAAGAUGUUUCAGCAGUCGCAACUUCCGCCUCCAUAAUGUAUGUUUCAUAAAUAUUUUAAUCAUUUUAACAUUUAACGUUUUUGUAAAGAAAAGUAUGAAUUCAUUUUUAUAUAUUGAUAUUAAUAUUAUUUUAGUCAUUUAAUUUGAAAUAUUAUAUAAAUUUAUUGUUUUUGGUUAGUUUAGAUUUGGUUGCUUUUAUUUUGUUGUUGCAGGAGGGCAGAAAAAAACAAAAAAAAUUUAUUUUAAAAAAAUCCCAAAAUUAGUGGCGUUUUUAAAAAAAGCGCCGCUAAAAGUUAUAUCAUAUAGUGGCGUUUCUGAAAUAAGUGCCGCUAAAGCACACUACUUUUAGUGGCGUUUGUAGAUAAAGCGCCGCUAAAGAAUUUUACUUUUAGCGGCGUUUAUUCCCAAGUGCAGCUAAAGAUCAUGUAAUUUAGUGGCGUUUUCUAUAAGCGCCGCUAAAGAUCAUGGUCUUUAGCGGCGUUUGUUGCACAAGCGCCGCUAAAGAUCAUGAUCUUUAUUGGCUUUUUUUCUAAGCGCCGCUAAAGAACAUGAUCUUUAGUGGCAUUUUUUUCCUAAGCGCCGCUAAAGAACAUGAUAUUUAGUGGCGUUUUUUCUAAGCGCCGAUAAAGAACAUGACCUUUAGCGGCGUUUUUUCUGUAAGCGCCGCAAAAAGUUAGCGGCGAUAUCCUUAGCGGCAUUUUUUGUGGCGCAUCCACAAGCGCCGCAAAUUCCUUUAGUGGCGUUUAAAAGCGCCGCUAAAAACCUGUUCUGGUGUAGUGAAUGUGUAAUUAUUACGGGUUAAAUCAUGAUUAAAUUGACGAAAUGUGCAAAUAUUGUGGGUUAAAUUUUUUAAAUUAAUGACAAUUUGAUAGAAUGUUUAAACUUUGAAGGCUAAAUUUAUCAUUAUACCAAGAAAAUUAUGUAUAAUUGAUGAAAAAUAUUAACGUUGUGAUUAAUUGUCCUUAAUUUAUCACUUUCAAAAAUAGAAAUAAUUCAAUAACUCAGAUAUUUUUAAAAAUACCAACUUUUUCAAUAUCGAAAUUGAAAACAAUUAGAGCCACAUGUUUUAAUAUAUUUACCGAAAUUGGGGUAAUUCUGAAAUCAAUUGCCAUUCUUCAUUUUAAUAUAUUUCAUAAUUAGUUGCUUAUGUUUUUUUUUAUGGUUUAUGCACGCACUGUGUUUUUUUUUUUUUUUUGCAACAAUGAGUAACAUAGACAAUAAAUAAUGAAAUAUUAAGCGCAUAAUACAAAUCUCAAAUAUGAAUUAUAAAAUGGAUAUAAAAUAUACAAAUAAAAAUAUCAGAUUAAUCCUCAUAUUUUUUUCCCUCAACAAAUAAAAUUCAUUAGAAAUUAAAGGGUGUUGCUUGGAGCAAAGCAUCAAAACACCUUAAGAACCAAUCCAUAACCAAAUGGACAGUUACACUAAUAAACCAUAAACUCUAUGGAUUGGAACACUUGGUUAAUUAUGGAUGAAGGCCAGCUUGGAAAUUCAUACUUGAGACCUGCCAACCUUGCAACGUAUAAGCGAGACAGUCAACCGUAAAAUCAGAGGAUCAACAACCAAAUGGCAACAAUCAGUAAAGCCUACAACUGAAAUUUUAAAACUUGAUCAGAAUCCACUUAACAUUAGGCCCUGUUCUUCCAUCAGGCAAAUACCAACAACCCAUUGAUUCAAUUUCGGCCGUCUUUUCAGAAUCAGCCGUAUCAUUAGUAGAUAAUUGCCUACUUUUAUCCCUCAUUAAGGAAUAAUAUAUAUAUUAUAUUUGUAAAGAUACUUGAUAGCUUUAUGCUGACAUUGAUAUGGUGGCAAAUCCUUAAAACAGGGGUCAACCUUACUAGUAAAAGUUUACAUGUUUGUAGCCCAAUGCCAUGCAUGAUGCACUUGAAAUUCAAUUUUGAGGGUAUAAUGUGAAAUGGAACAGUUCAAAUAGUAGUUUUACAAAAACUGAAAUAACCUUUCACAUUUUACCAAAAGUUGCAGCCUCGUACUUCAGUAGAGCAACUCAACCUACAAUGAAAAGGGCGUCUCUAUGGUCACUUUAUAAAGCAUUAGUUUAAGCCAUGAUGAAAAUAGAAGAGUCAAUUACCAUUUGUUUUGAAUUCAAACGAAAUUGAGCUUUUCGCAUACGCACCCAAACUUAUUUCCUUAUUCCAGCUUGGGCGACCGAUCAGUAACCUCCGUCACCUCAGAAUUUUGCACAUUCUGUGCAUGAUCAUAACAAACCAAGAAUUGUUCAAUUAACUAUGUAUGUAUGUAUGUAAAAACACAUGAAUUUAAAUCCUUUAAAUGAUUUGUACCAUUUCAUCGAACAUAUGUUUUAUGGUAGUGUUAAGGUCGCCUUUCCACUGCAGUUCACCUUCCUCAUCUCUUGUUAAGUGCAUUUGUUCCAGCCUUGGUGUGCUUAAAUCUCCUUGGCAGAAAUUCCUCAUUUGGGGGCACUUUGUCACCAUCACCAUUAGCAAGACUGGGAAUUCCAACGAGUGAUGGGCCAAGGAAAAGCUUGCUAGACAUGGCAGACAACUUAGCUGCAAAUACUUCAGUUUGGGAAAUACAAUGCCGCCUUGUAUUUCUUCAGGCUCACACGCUAUGAUUUCCUCUAUCAUCUCACAAUCAUCUAUGCUCAAUCUUUCCAGUAGCCUCAGGCACUUAGCUGUUGAGCAUGCGACUAAAUUGAUGAACCCAUGGCAUCUUGAAACUUCCAGUGUUGUUAGAUUUUUGAAAGACAGCAAAGAUGGUUCAAAAGUCUUUAACGUCAACUCUGGAAGUUGAGACAAACUUAAUUCCUUUAGCUGAUAGAUUGCUGAUGUAUGCCUUUCCUGGUCGCUGAGUCCUUCAGAUUGUACUAUUUGACAAAUGGAAGCAUUGUCUAUAACAAGCUUAUGAAGGAUUGGUAGAGACCGAAUGAAGGAAUACGGAAGAGUAGUGGAUGUCUUGGGAAAGAAUUGGAGGUUAAGAUGCUUAAGGUUUUGGAAACACUGUAAUGAGAGUUGUCCAUCACAUAUCCCCUUCACCAUAUCAUUCGUCUUCAGUGUUAGUUCUUCUAAUACAGGGAAAGUGUCCUGGAUGGCAACGAAUAUAUUAAACAUCGAUCAAAGAGUUUUCAAUUAGUAAGAACUAGACUACAGAAUGAAUAUAAUUUCCAUUUUCUUUCUCAUAAAUUUAAAAGGAAGGUGAGAAUAUUAGUUAUUUCAAAAGGCAUUUUAUAGGUAAUCUCAAGUAAUGAACAUGGAGUAUGAAACUGUUAGUGAGCUCACCUCGUUGACGCAAAACAAGGGUUGUUGGUUUGAGAUUCCAACCUGACUCUCAGGACAUUUUGGAGUAAAUAUCUGUACUUUGGGACAUUCAAUAAUGUCCAUUUGUUUCAGUGAAGGCCACUGGGUGGUAUGCAUCCUAGAGUAGAAACUUUUCAAUCUCGGCACCUUAUCCAAUCCGAGGUUUAUUAGUUUGGGAAAUACAAACUUGGUCGUCUCUGUUUCAGCCAUAAUAGAUUGAGCAGCUGAUGUUGAAUGUGACUCAUCAGCAAUGACUCCUUGCAGCUCAAUAAUUUGUUCUAACGAAUCACAAUUCUGAAUCCGCAACUUCUCCAAACUAGGGAAAACAACCUGCUAAAUCAUUUCAUUAGGUUAAUAACUGAAAUAUGCAUGGAAAAGAAAGAACUUCAAACGAGUAAGAUCAAUCGAAGCAACAUAAAUUAAAAGGAGAACCCGUAAAGAAAUGACCUUUUCAUUGAGGAGAGAUGGGUUAUGAACCUCCAAGUUACUCGCUUGUACAUGUUGGCCAAUUUCAGGUUCAUCUUCAGAUACACAUUUAGUGAUGAAUGUUUUUAGCAAUAGACAAUUUGUUAGUUCUAAAUCUGUCAAACAUUGGAAUUCAAAGUAAUUUUCAAAGCAGAAACUUGUGAGUUUGGGAAGGUCUUUUAGCCACAGCAAUUCUAGUUCAGAGAAAGACAUCUGAUUCCUCCCUUGAUGUUCUUCAACCAAUCCAUCCGUGAGUAUUACUUGUUCCAUCAUAUUACAGUCCAAAAUUUCAAGGCGUCGGAGUUGCACAAGAUCUUUUACCAAGAAAGACGGGAACAGGUAUUUCAAAUUGUGACACCUGUUCACUUGCAAGGUUUUUAGGCAUCCGACAGAUGGGGAGGAUGGGUGGUGCCAUAUCUCAUGAAUGUUAACGAAGGACAAUUCCAGAUGCUGCAAACGAGGAAUGACAACCUGUUGACAUAAAUUUCAUUAUAAGAUAACAUCAUAACUCUUCCUUCUUUACUCACAUAUUUAUGUAGUUUCCAUUACUGAUUUACAUUAAUUACUUAAGUUAUUUAAUGAGUUACCUUAAAAAAGAGUUAGGCAUAGAUAAUUUAUUUAACCCUCCAAUUUUAUAAAAAAAAUUUUAUUUUAGCUCUCUAUUUUAAUUUUUAUUUCUUUUAUCCUUUGAACUUGUGUUAUUUGUCAAAUCAUUCAAAGUAGAGAAAAAAAAAUUGACAUUUGUUAACUUUGCUGAUGUUAUAUACAUUGGAUUGCCUGUAGAUGACAUGUCAACAAUUAAUUUUUAUUUUAUUUUGAAAAUUUUAUAAAAAUAUUUAAAAAUAUAUAAAAUAUUCUAAAAAUUAAUUAAUUGCUAACUUUGCAUACACAUGAAUUUUCACAUAAGCAAAGUUAACAAAUAUAAACUUUUUCAUUCAUUUUGAGGUGAUUUGACAAAAAUGCAAGUUCAAAAGCUAAAAAAGAUGAAAAUUUUAUUUAACAUUAUUAAGCAUUAGUCGUAGCUAUUAUAAAUAAAUAUUAAUAACUUUCGGAUUUAAGAUCUUAUGUUUAAGGGCUUAGAAUUUCAAGUUUAAGAUUUAGGGUUUUAACAUUUAAUUAUAAUUAAUUUUUAUUUAAUUAUGUUUAGAUAAAUUUAUUAGUAUUUAUUUAUAAACCCUUUACUAUAUUUUUGUGGUAUUUACUGAUAAUUGUAUGUUCUUAUUCACCGAUGAUACAUGAAACUUGUGUACCGCCAAUACAUCAAAUAUUCUUCAAAUUAAAAUAGAUGAAGAUUAGUUUUUUAUUUUAUUUUCUAUUAUUAUUUUAUUAUUUAUUGUCCAUUAGUAUUUAACUUUAAAACUUCUCUUAAAUUCUUAUUGUUUAUUAGUAUUCCACUUUUAAGUUUUUCCUUUAUUCUUAUUUUAUAUAUUUAUUUAUACUUUAAACUUCAAAUUAAAAAAUAUUAUCUUAUUUAUUAAUAUUUUUAUGGAUUUUAUUAUAUUAAUUUUUACAGCACGUAUCACGUGACAUUAAUACUAAUAUAUAUAUAUAUAUAUAGACCAGACACACUCAUAUAAAUUAAUCAAAUAAAAGGAAAAUGUGAAAUAAGUUGUGCAGAUAAAUAUUGAAUACUAAACUUACCUUAUUGCUGAAAAAAAUUGCAGGGUUAUCAUAGAUGCCCCCCUCGCCAACCACGUUUUCACUUGCAUCACCACUUCCUCUUGAAACUGAGGAAGAAAAUGUAGUCAUUUUUGGACACUCAACUAUUGCGAUUCUAAACAACUCUGGAAAUUCAAGAGCUUGACUUCCCAAAUAGAAAUUUGUCAAGUUGGAACACAACUCAAUUCUUAUGGAGAAGAGUGCAAGAAAUGUGAAUUUAUCUGUCAUUGCUUCCUCCCUAACCACUUGUUCCAUUGAACUGCAUUCUUUUACUUUUAUCACUUCUAGUUGAUUGAGGCUCAAAAGCAUAGACGAAGUAAAUAUGUAUUUCAAGCUACUACAUUUAUAAAAAUGCAACGAACCAAGGUUUUUGAAGCCCAAAAUUUCUUGAGGGUUUCUAAUCCAUUUUUCUAUUGACUUGGGAAUUGUGUCAGAGAUGUCCAAAUUGUAUCCGUCAUAGAAUUCAUCCUAAAAAAAAAUUUAUAAUAUUAUUCCACUAGAUAGCAAUCACAAAUAGAAAAUGCAAACAAUAACAAAAUAACGAUAAACACUCUUCAAUGAUUAAUGAAGUAUUAAUAAAAUUAAUUGUAUCAGGACAGGAAGAAGCUAACUACUUUUAUGAACUUAUUAAUUAACUUUGUACCUUUUCCGUGUAGAGCUGUUGUAUGGUGGUAUUUAAGUCACUUGCCCAACUCCAUUUCUCACGGGAACUCGACUGUUUUACUCUUUGUAACUGUGGGGUGCUUAAAACUCCUUCAGUAAAGGUCUUUAAUCUAGGACAGUGUUCCACAACUAAUUCUUCCAAACAAGGGAAGUUGAAGGUGUAAUUCCUUGAACAAAAGCUUGUGAGGCUCUGUAAAUAGCUUAGUUCUAAACAUUUCAAUUUACUCACAACUAUUGUCCGAUGGCAGUCUCCCCCAUUUCCCACUAUUUCUGUCAUUUUAGUGCACCACAUCACCCUCAUUCUCGUUAAUUGCACAAGAUUCUUAACCACUAAGGGUGUAACUAAGUUUGUCAUCAUUUGACAAUAUGACACAUUCAAAGUUGUGAGAUUUUGCAAAGAUGAGGAGGAGACUGUAAUAUUUAUCAAAUCAUCACAUUCCCAAACUUCGAGUUUUUGGAGAUUAGAAAGAAUAUGGUCAAACUCCGAAUCUUUCCUCCAUAUAUGAUUAAGAUUCAUGGCACGAUCCAGUAUCAGAUUUCUAAUUGGUGUGAGAGUCCCAACGUCUCCUUUACAAGGGACUACGUAUUUGAAAUCAAAAUCACGAAGCUUAAAACUAUCCAAAUUGUAAAAUCUUCGAAUGAAAGGAAAUAUAGAAGAUCGAGAGCCACCACGCACUUCAAAAACUUUAAUCUCUUGAAACAAGGCUGGUGGAAACUGGUCCAUAUCACCAAAAUUUAAUAACUCAAGUUCCUCUAAAUUGGGAAUGACCUUGAAACCAAUUAAACAUAAACAAGUUAGGCACAAUGUUGAUCUAUAUGCUUAAAAAGAACAUAAGAUCUACAAUUUUGGUGUUUGAUAUUGAUGAUUAAACCUCAACAAAAUCAAUAUUAAAUCAAACUAAUCCAAAAUAGAUGAAUAUUUUGUUUUAAGAAAGCACAAUACCUUAGAAACAAAAAAUGAUAAAAAUAAGCUGAAAGAAGUGCAUAAAAAAUCUGAAUUAAAAUGGAUAAGCAACCACCGUUUCAAAUAAUAUAUAUAUCAACAAGAGAUGGAUGUGACGGUGGCUUAAAUCAUGAAAAGGAAUAUAGUUGUAAUGAUAUACAUACCUCUUCAACCAACAAAACUGGCUGCUCAUUUCCUUGGAUUAAUCUAAGAUGUUCCGAAGCCACUAUCUUUAGCAAAGCAGAACAAUCUGUUUUCAAUUUUUUCAACAGGGGCCAGACUAUUGUAUGUUGCCCUUCAUAGAAACAUUUGAGCUCUUUUAGGGAUGUAACCUCAAGGGAAGACACUUGCGGAAACUCGAACCUCACAGGCUGCUCCUCCACUCCUUCCCCUUUCGAUACAAUCUCCUCCACUCCACAAUUAGUGAUGCGUAAAUGUUCAAGUUGUGGAAGAUGUUGGGCUAUUGACACUGGAAAUAGAUUUUUCAGACUCCCACAUCUCUCAACUCUUAUUUUUCGUAGAUUUUGAAAAGAACCUGGUGCAAAGUCAUUAUGAAACAUCAUUUUCACAUUUCUCAACUUGUUGAUUGUCAUCUUUUCCAACCUAGGAAAUGCAACCUAUAUUUAAUUCGUGCCAGUACAAAAGUUAGCUCAUAUAAUGCCAGACAAAAUAACAAGGACAAAUCAACAGAAUUAUAUAAGAGCGUAAGAGUAAUGAAAUAAAUCACCUUCUCACUGAAGAGAGCGUGCAUGCCGGACUGAUUACUAUUCUGACUAAUGAAUUCUAUUAACUUGGGGCAACGCUCAAUCUUUAGCUCUUUUAACAAUGGGAACUCAAUAUUGUGGUUUCCUGAGUUGAAGAAGAUGAGGUUUGGAAGACCAUCUAUAUGCAGGGAGUUUAAUCGAGGGAAACAAAUCACAUCUUUCCUUCCUUCAUCAAUUUCCUCUGUAAGUAUUAUGUCCCUUAAGCAAUUGCAAUCCUCUAUCUCAAAGCAUUGGAGCUGCACCAGACUUCUAGCGAGAGAGGGUGAUAACAGAUGCUCCAACUUGCCGC